rnacentral:rRNA from 1 species
UACGGAGGGUGCAAGCGUUAUCCGGAUUCACUGGGUUUAAAGGGUGCGUAGGUGGGUUGGUAAAUCAGUGGUGAAAUCUCCAGGCUUAACUUGGAAACUGCCAUUGAUACUAUCAAUCUUGAAUACCGUGGAGGUCAGCGGAAUAUGUCAUGUAGCGGUGAAAUGCUUAGAUAUGACAUAGAACACCAAUUGCGAAGGCAGCUGGCUACACAAAUAUUGACGCUGAGGCACGAAAGCGUGGGGAUCAAACAGG